rnacentral:rRNA from 1 species
UACGUAGGUGGCGAGCGUUGUCCGGAUUUGCUGGGCGUAAAGGGAGCGUAGGCGGACUUUUAAGUGAGAUGUGAAAUACUCGGGCUCAACUUGAGUGCUGCAUUUCAAACUGGAAGUCUAGAGUGCAGGAGAGGAGAAUGGAAUUCCUAGUGUAGCGGUGAAAUGCGUAGAGAUUAGGAAGAACACCAGUGGCGAAGGCGAUUCUCUGGACUGUAACUGACGCUGAGGCUCGAAAGCGUGGGGAGCAAACAGG